rnacentral:lncRNA from 1 species
AAUAUUACAUUUAAAAGAAAUUAUUUUAAUACUAUUAAUCAUGUAUAAUUCAUUUGACAUUUUUAAAAUAAAUUAUUAGAAAUAAUUUUCAUAAAACUGUAUUAAAAUUAAUUUAAACUUUAAAAAAACAUUUAAAAUAAUUAAAAAUUAUUUAAAAAAUAACAUUUAUAAAAAAAACUGAUGAUAUAUUAAAAAAACAUAAAAUCACAAUUGUUAUAGAGCAGAAAGGAUAUAAACCGGUGACAAUAAUAAAAA